rnacentral:rRNA from 1 species
ACAGGGAUUGCCCUAGUAACGGCGAGUGAAGCGGCAACAGCUCAAAUUUGAAAUCUGGCGUCUUUGGCGUCCGAGUUGUAAUUUGCAGAGGGCGCUUUGGCGUUGGCAGCAGUCUAAGUUCCUUGGAACAGGACGUCACAGAGGGUGAGAAUCCCGUACGUGGUUGCUGGCCUUCGCCGUGUAAAGCCCCUUCGACGAGUCGAGUUGUUUGGGAAUGCAGCUCUAAAUGGGAGGUAAAUUUCUUCUAAAGCUAAAUACUGGCCAGAGACCGAUAGCGCACAAGUAGAGUGAUCGAAAGAUGAAAAGCACUUUGGAAAGAGAGUCAAACAGCACGUGAAAUUGUUAAAAGGGAAGCGCUUGCAGCCAGACUUGCCUGUAGUUGCUCAUCCGGACUUUUGUCCGGUGCACUCUUCUAUAGGCAGGCCAGCAUCAGUUUGGGCGGUUGGAUAAAGGUCUCUGUCAUGUACCUCUCUUCGGGGAGAACUUAUAGGGGAGACGACAUGCAACCAGCCUGGACUGAGGUCCGCGCAUUUGCUAGGAUGCUGGCGUAAUGGCUGUAAGCGGCCCGUCUUGAAACACGGACCAAGGAGUCUAACAUCUAUGCGAGUGUUUGGGUGUCAAGCCCGAACGCGUAAUGAAAGUGAACGGAGGUGGGAACCCCUCGGGGUGCACCAUCGACCGAUCCUGAUGUCUUCGGAUGGAUUUGAGUAAGAGCAUAGCUGUUGGGACCCGAAAGAUGGUGAACUAUGCUUGAAUAGGGUGAAGCCAGAGGAAACUCUGGUGGAGGCUCGCAGCGGUUCUGACGUGCAAAUCGAUCGUCAAAUUUGGGCAUAGGGGCGAAAGACUAAUCGAACUAUCUAGUAGCUGG